rnacentral:rRNA from 1 species
GAUGAACGCUGGCGGCGUGCCUAAUACAUGCAAGUCGAGCGAACCACUUCGGUGGUGAGCGGCGAACGGGUGAGUAACACGUAGGUGAUCUGCCCAUCAGACGGGGACAACGAUUGGCAACGAUCGCUAAUACCGGAUAGGACGAAAGUUUAAAGGUACUUCUGGCACCGCUGAUGGAUGAGCCUGCGGCGCAUGAGCUAGUUGGUAGGGUAAAGGCCUACCAAGGCGACGAUGCGUAGCCGACCUGAGAGGGUGAACGGCCACACUGGGACUGAGACACGGCCCAGACUCCUACGGGAGGCAGCAGUAGGGAAUCUUCGGCAAUGGGCGAAAGCCUGACCGAGCAACGCCGCGUGAAUGAUGAAGGCCUUCGGGUUGUAAAAUUCUGUUAUAAGGGAAGAACGACUUUAGUAGGAAAUGGCUAGAGUGUGACGGUACCUUAUGAGAAAGCCACGGCUAACUACGUGCCAGCAGCCGCCGUAAAAC